UACGUAGGCAGCGAGCGUUGUUCGGAGUUACUGGGCGUAAAGGGUGUGUAGGCGGUUGUUUAAGUUUGGUGUGAAAUCUCCCGGCUCAACUGGGAGGGUGCGCCGAAUACUGAAUGACUAGAGUGCGGGAGAGGAAAGUGGAAUUCCUGGUGUAGCGGUGAAAUGCGUAGAUAUCAGGAGGAACACCGGUGGUGUAGACGGCUUUCUGGACCGUAACUGACGCUGAGACACGAGAGCGUGGGUAGCAAACAGG
rnacentral:rRNA from 1 species